rnacentral:rRNA from 1 species
GACGAACGCUGGCGGCGUGCCUAAUACAUGCAAGUUGAGCGCUGAAGGUUGGUACUUGUACCAACUGGAUGAGCAGCGAACGGGUGAGUAACGCGUGGGGAAUCUGCCUUUGAGCGGGGACAACAUUUGGAAACGAAUGCUAAUACCGCAUAAAAACUUUAAACAAAAGUUUUAAGUUUGAAAGAUGCAAUUUCCUCCAUCAAAGAUGAUCCCGCGUUGUAUUAGCUAGUUGGUGAGGUAAAGGCUCACCAAGGCGAUGAUACAUAGCCGACCUGAGAGGGUGAUCGGCCACAUUGGGACUGAGACACGGCCCAAACUCCUACGGGAGGCAGCAGUAGGGAAUCUUCGGCAAUGGACGAAAGUCUGACCGAGCAACGCCGCGUGAGUGAAGAAGGUUUUCGGAUCGUAAAACUCUGUUGGUAGAGAAGAACGUUGGUGAGAGUGGAAAGCUCAUCAAGUGACGGUAACUACCCAGAAAGGGACGGCUAACUACGUG